GCUUUCUCCCAAUCAUCCACAACUUCAGACAACUCUACUUGACUUGAAAUUCCUCCAAGCCGCUCAGGUGAACUGAAAAUGCUUGAAUUUGAUUCUAUUCCUAAAUUAGAUGCCCGUUUAGCAGGAUCUUCAGUCCGAAUAGAUGUGGUAGAUGCCUUGGAAAUCGAUUCAGAAUCCAAGGCACUCCAUCUAUUAAUCGUAGCAGCAAUAGGAGCUUCUUUUCCCUUCCAAGCGGAAGCCUGCACAUCCCCAGAUCCGUGACACCACUCUUCGCUGCCCCAUGAAUCUUCCCUCCAACCAU
rnacentral:misc_RNA from 1 species